GUGCUUGCUUCGGGAGCACAUACACUAAAAUUGGAACGAUACAGAGAAGAUUAGUAUGGCCCCUGCGCAAUGAUGACACGCAAAUGCGUGAAGUGUUCAAAUUAAAU
rnacentral:snRNA from 1 species